rnacentral:rRNA from 1 species
UGAGCAAUCUGCCCCUCUCAUCGGAAUAAGCGUUGGAAACGACGUCUAAUGCCGAAUACGACCUCCUUUCGCAUGAUCGGAGGUGGAAAGCUCCGGCGGUGAAGGAUGAGCUCGCGGCCUAUCAGCUAGUUGGUGUGGGUAACGCCCACCAAGGCGACGACGGGUAGCUGGUCUGAGAGGAUGGCCAGCCACAUUGGGACUGAGACACGGCCCAGACCUCUACGGGA